CGGGGUGUAGCGCAGCCUGGCUAGCGCAUCUGCUUUGGGAGCAUAGGGUCGCUGGUUCGAAUCCAGUCACCCCGA
rnacentral:tRNA from 1 species